rnacentral:rRNA from 1 species
GAUGAACGCUAGCGGCAGGCUUAAUACAUGCAAGUCGUGGGGCAGCAGGUUUGUAGCAAUACAGAUGCUGGCGACCGGCAAACGGGUGCGUAACACGUACGCAACCUUCCCGUUACUGGGGAAUAGCCCAGGGAAACUUGGAUUAAUACCCCAUAUUAUAUUGGUCAGGCAUCUGACUAAUAUCAAAGCUUCGGCGGUAACGGAUGGGCGUGCGGUUGAUUAGGUAGUUGGCGGGGUAACGGUCCACCAAGCCUACGAUCAAUAGCUGAUGUGGGAGCAUGAUCAGCCACACGGGAACUGAGACCAGGGCCCGGCUCCUACGGGAUGCAGCAGUAAGGAAUAUUGGGCAAUGGACGCAAGUCUGACCCAGCCAUGCCGCGUGAAGGAUGAAGGUCCUCUGGGUUGUAAACUUCUUUUAUCUGGGGCGAAAACCGGUUAUUCUUAGCCGUUUGACAGUACCAGAGGAAUAAGCACCGGCUAACUCCGUGCCAGCAGCCGCAGUAACAC